GAGUUUGAUCCUGGCUCAGGACGAACGCUGGCGGCGUGCUUAACACAUGCAAGUCGAACGGAAAGGCCCUUUCGGGGGUGCUCGAGUGGCGAACGGGUGAGUAACACGUGGGUGAUCUGCCCUGCACUUUGGGAUAAGCCUGGGAAACUGGGUCUAAUACCGAAUAGUCCCUGCUGGUCGCAUGGCCUGGUGGGGGAAAGCUUUUGCGGUGUGGGAUGGGCCCGCGGCCUAUCAGCUUGUUGGUGGGGUGAUGGCCUACCAAGGCGACGACGGGUAGCCGGCCUGGGAGGGUGUCCGGCCACACUGGGACUGAGAUACGGCCCAGACUCCUACGGGAGGCAGCAGUGGGGAAUAUUGCACAAUGGGCGCAAGCCUGAUGCAGCGACGCCGCGUGGGGGAUGACGGCCUUCGGGUUGUAAACCUCUUUCAGUACCGACGAAGCGUAAGUGACGGUAGGUACAGAAGAAGCACCGGCCAACUACGUGCCAGCAGCCGCGGUAAUACGUAGGGUGCGAGCGUUGUCCGGAAUUACUGGGCGUAAAGAGCUCGUAGGUGGUUUGUCGCGUUGUCCGUGAAAACUCACAGCUUAACUGUGGGCGUGCGGGCGAUACGGGCAGACUGGAGUACUGCAGGGGAGACUGGGAUUCCUGGUGUAGCGGUGGAAUGCGCAGAUAUCAGGAGGAACACCGGUGGCGAAGGCGGGUCUCUGGGCAGUAACUGACGCUGAGGAGCGAAAGCGUGGGGAGCGAACAGGAUUAGAUACCCUGGUAGUCCACGCCGUAAACGGUGGGUACUAGGUGUGGGUUCUUUCCUAAGGAUCCGUGCCGUAGCUAACGCAUUAAGUACCCCGCCUGGGGAGUACGGCCGCAAGGCUAAAACUCAAAGGAAUUGACGGGGGCCCGCACAAGCGGCGGAGCAUGUGGAUUAAUUCGAUGCAACGCGAAGAACCUUACCUGGGUUUGACAUGCACAGGACGCCGGCAGAGAUGUCGGUUCCCUUGUGGCCUGUGUGCAGGUGGUGCAUGGCUGUCGUCAGCUCGUGUCGUGAGAUGUUGGGUUAAGUCCCGCAACGAGCGCAACCCUUGUCUCAUGUUGCCAGCGCGUUAUGGCGGGGACUCGUGAGAGACUGCCGGGGUCAACUCGGAGGAAGGUGGGGAUGACGUCAAGUCAUCAUGCCCCUUAUGUCCAGGGCUUCACACAUGCUACAAUGGCCGGUACAAAGGGCUGCGAUGCCGUGAGGUGGAGCGAAUCCUUUCAAAGCCGGUCUCAGUUCGGAUCGGGGUCUGCAACUCGACCCCGUGAAGUCGGAGUCGCUAGUAAUCGCAGAUCAGCAACGCUGCGGUGAAUACGUUCCCGGGCCUUG
rnacentral:rRNA from 1 species